rnacentral:lncRNA from 1 species
AGGGAGAGCUAGAAGAAGAGGUUGAAAAUCUGAGGCAGUCUUGGAUAAGGGGCGAAGCAGAUAAUUCGAGAUCGGAAGGAGCAGAGCUUCCCUAGGGCUCUUUUUGGCCUUCCGUCUUUCCAUGCAUACAUUUUCUCUUUUAUUGUUUUGUCUUGCUCUCGUCGUUUUGUUUUUCUUCCCUUGGCCUGCUGGGCUUUGUAGUGUAUAUUUUGUGAAUG